UAUGACUCUCGGCAAUGGAUAUCUUGGCUCUUGCAUCGAUGAAGAGCGCAACAAAAUAUGAUACCUGGUGCGAAUUACUGAAUCCCAUGAACCAUCGAGUUUUUGAACGCAAGUUGCGCCUGAGGCCAAUUGGCCGAGGGCACGUUCACUGGGCAUCAUGU
rnacentral:rRNA from 1 species